GCCCUGGCCCCUCUGGCUUCAGCUCUGGCCCCUCCAGCAGCCGGCGGACAGUGGGUUAAGGAUUGGGUGAUGUGGGAACUUCCGGAUAUGAUCACAGAGAGAAAGAGGAGGGAGACAGAGGGAGACAGAGAGAGACACACACACACAGAGGCAGACAGCUGAGCAUCCACUCAGCUGCUUACCAGCCCCCACACCAGGGACCCAGGGGCCCGGCCCAGCCCAGCCCCUUGCCAGUGGGGCCAGGUCUCCCCACAUCGGUCCCUUCCUCUCAGCUUUCUUCCCUCUCUCCCUCCCUCUCUCCCUCUCUGAUCUCUGUCUUUCUUUCUUUCUUUCAUUCUUUCUGUCUCUCCCUGAAUCUUUCUCUCUCUUUCACUGCCUCUUACUGGAUUCACUGAGACUCCAGUUCUGGGGUACUGAGGGGUGGCUGGGGCUCAGGGGAGCCUUCUCUCCCCCAUCCUGGGGUCCAGAUCCACCCCCCCAACUCUCUCCCCCAGCCUGGGAUGCUACUGGGGCCAGGGCACUGACCCCUGGGGGCUGGGCAGGAGGCUGUGCUCUGGGGUGCUCAUGACAGAACACUACGCCCACCACUGAGCAGAAAGAGGGGGCCCUGGGCUGUGGGGGGAACCUGGGGGGCAACCGUGUCCCCACUCACCCUCCACAGCCCAGCCCCCAGGCCCGGAUCUGGCGAGGGAUAGACAUUGGAGCUGCCUGACGUGGGCCCCAAUUCUGGGGGCCCAUGGCACAGAGAUACGAUGAGCUGCCUCAGUAUCCCGGCGUGGACAGCGCAAGCCUGGCCAACUUCUCGGAAGCCGCGCCCCGGGGGAGCGGUCGGCCAGCCGUGCUACCCCAGGCCCCCUACGGCCCCGCGCCGCCCCCGGGGCCGGCCCGGGGCCGGGCAAGAGGAGGAGACGGACUGAAGAGCGAGAAAGACGAGAUCUAUGGGCACCCGCUCUUCCCGCUCCUGGCCCUGGUGUUUGAGAAGUGCGAGCUAGCCACGUGCUCCCCUAGGGACGGGGCGGGCCCGGGGCCCGGGGGCAGCCCCGGCUUGGGACCCGGGGGCGACGUCUGCUCCUCCGACUCCUUCAACGAGGACAUCACCGCCUUCGCCAAGCAGGUCCGCAUGGAGAGACCUCUGUUCUCCUCUAACCCCGAGCUGGACAACCUGAUGAUCCAGGCCAUCCAGGUGCUACGAUUUCAUCUGCUGGAGCUGGAGAAGGUACACGACCUGUGUGACAACUUCUGCCAUCGGUAUAUCACCUGCCUCAAGGGGAAGAUGCCCAUCGACCUGGUCAUUGAGGACAGAGACCGAGAUGGUGAUGAGUCCAUCAUCCCCUGCAAGGCUGACCCGGAUGACUUCCCAACCCCUGGCCCUGGCCUCCCCCACCAGAACAACUCCUGGGUUCGGGACCACAGCGAUAGCGGAUCUGUGCACCUGGGGACACCAGGCCCAUCCAGUGGGGGCAUGGCCUCCCAGAGCGGGGACAACUCCAGUGAGCAGGGAGAUGGACUGGAGACCAGAGCAGCCUCCCCCAGCUCAGGGCCAGAGGAUGAUGAACCCGACCAGGACCAGAGGCAGAGUAAAAAGCGGGGAAUCUUCCCCAAGGUGGCCACCAACAUCAUGAGAGCCUGGCUUUUCCAGCACCUGGCGCACCCCUACCCCUCUGAGGAGCAAAAGAAGCAGCUGGCCCAGGACACGGGGCUCACCAUCCUACAGGUCAACAACUGGUUCAUCAAUGCCAGGAGGCGGAUUGUGCAGCCUAUGAUUGACCAGUCCAACAGGGCAGGCCCUGGCACAGCCUACAGCCCUGAGCAUGGCCCAGCCUUGGGGGCCUUUGGCCCAGACCAGAGUCCAGGCCCUGGACCCCCCAUGAGGACCACCGGGGCCCCACACCUCCUUAAAGGGGGCAGGUUUGGGGGAGGGCCUCCUUCCCCCAUCUCUCCUCCCCAGGGUCCAUGGGCAUGAGCGUGAGCCUGGACAGGCAGUGGCAUUACAUGUAGGAGCACCUGCAGCCUCACCCACUGAUGGACUCCUUCUCCGUGGAUGUGGAGGGUCCUGUGAGCUGAGCCCCCCACACACACCUGGGGCUCCCAGCCAGGGCCCUGCCUGGUGUGGCCGGGCCUGAUGCCCUCCCACCUCAACGCCUACCUCCCCGGGCUCCCCCGGGCUUCUGGGCUGGGACUCGCUGCACACUGAGCUAUCCAUCCCUCAAUGAUGAUAUUGAGAAGACACCCGCUCCAUCCACAGGCUCCUCAAAGACUCUGGACCCCUUCCCUGCUUCUCCCUGAGCCCCAGGUCCCCUUGUGCCCCACCCUGGGGGGCAGGAGCUUUGCCUGGUACCAAGGCCAAAGGGUGGGGGGGAAGUUCAGAGGAGCUGGGGAAGACCGACCAGGCCUCUUUCCUCCAGGCCUGGGCAAGAAAGGUCUGGGGACACAGACAGGGCAGGGCGCCCCCGGGGUUUCCCUGUCUUCCCGGUUCUGCCCCUACUUUCUUAGGCUGUCACUGUCUCUUUCUCAGUCUUUUUAAAAAAAUGAUAA